UAGGGAAUAUUGCAAAAUGGGCGAAAGCCCGAUGCAGCAACGCCGCGUGGGCGAUGAAGGCCUUCGGGUCGUAAAGCCCUUUUUGAGGGGAUGAGGAAGGACAGUACCCUCAGAAUAAGCCUCGGCUAACUACGUGCCAGCAGCCGCGGUAAACCGUAGGAGGCGAGCGUUAUCCGGAUUUACUGGGCGUAAAGCGCGUGCAGGCGGAUUGGAGAGUUGGAUGUGAAAGCUCCCGGCUUAACUGGGAGAGGUCGUUCAAUACUUCCAGUCUUGAGUGCAGUAGAGGGAAGUGGAAUUCCGGGUGUAGUGGUGAAAUGCGUAGAUAUCCGGAGGAACACCAGUGGCGAAAGCGGCUUCCUGGACUGUAACUGACGCUCAGACGCGAAAGCUAGGGUAGCAAACG
rnacentral:rRNA from 1 species